ACUCCUUYGCUUCCCUUUGUUUACGCCAUUGUAGCACGUGUGUAGCCCWGAUCAUAAGGGGCAUGAUGAUUUGACGUCAUCCCCACCUUCCUCCRGGUUAUCCCYGGCAGUCUCUUUAGAGUGCCCAGCUUUACCUGCUGGCUACUAACCAUAAGGGUUGCSCUCGUUGCGGGACUUAACCCAACAUCUCACGACACGAGCUGACGACAACCAUGCGG
rnacentral:rRNA from 1 species